UAGAACUGGAAGGGGAAAAAACAGACAGGGAAUCCAAAGCCCCAAAAAUUUUGGUAAAAGGCAGAAAAUGUGGCAGAGCUGAGAUAAUCCAGCAGGAACUAUUCCAGAAGGCACACUGUCUCCUGAAUUGGCCAAACCCUCUGGAACCUUACAGAUUGGGCAUGGGAUAGAGUGGGAGGAAAAAAGCACGCAGUGCAGCCACAUAAGCUUGCAUCUGAUCUUUCACUCUGCUUGCGCUCUGCACUCUGCUCUGGAAGAGAUAAGGAUUAGCUGUACCUACCCUGUAAAUUGGUGAAAAUGGAUUGAGCUAAUGUGUGUAAAUCACCACUACGAUGACAAAUGCGGCAUAGGAUGAAAUAAUGUUUGCAGAAGUAAAGAAUGGAUCUUAGUUCUGGACACUGACGAACCCCUGACAGUAUGAGAAGAAAGUGAGUUAUAAAAACUUUUCCAGUUAAGCAGAAAACCUCCAAAACAAAAAUCAAGCAUCCGAUGGAUUCUACCUAGACGCAAAGGAGAAUUGGCCCAAGGGUCUCUUACUUAUUACUAAUUUCUCAAAAC
rnacentral:lncRNA from 1 species